rnacentral:rRNA from 1 species
UAGCUAAUACCGCAUAACGUCGCAAGACCAAAGAGGGGGACCUUCGGGCCUCUUGCCAUCGGAUGUGCCCAGAUGGGAUUAGCUUGUUGGUGGGGUAACGGCUCACCAAGGCGACGAUCCCUAGCUGGUCUGAGAGGAUGACCAGCCACACUGGAACUGAGACACGGUCCAGACUCCUACGGGAGGCAGCAGUGGGGAAUAUUGCACAAUGGGCGCAAGCCUGAUGCAGCCAUGCCGCGUGUAUGAAGAAGGCCUUCGGGUUGUAAAGUACUUUCAGCGGGGAGGAAGGGAGUAAAGUUAAUACCUUUGCUCAUUGACGUUACCCGCAGAAGAAGCACCGGCUAACUCCGUGCCAGCAGCCGCGGUAAUACGGAGGGUGCAAGCGUUAAUCGGAAUUACUGGGCGUAAAGCGCACGCAGGCGGUUUGUUGAGUCAGAUGUGAAAUCCCCGGGCUCAACCUGGGAACUGCAUCUGAUACUGGCAAGCUUGAGUCUCGUAGAGGGGGGUAGAAUUCCAGGUGUAGCGGUGAAAUGCGUAGAGAUCUGGGGGAAUACCGGUGGCGAAGGCGGCCCCCUGGACGAAGACUGACGCUCAGGUGCGAAAGCGUGGGGAGCAAACAGGAUUAGAUGCCCUGGUAGUCCACGCCGUAAACGAUGUCAACUUGGAGGUUGUGCCCUUGAGGCGUGGCUUCCGGAG